AACGAACGCUGGCGGCAUGCCUAACACAUGCAAGUCGAACGAGACCUUCGGGUCUAGUGGCGCACGGGUGCGUAACGCGUGGGAACCUGCCCUUAGGUUCGGAAUAACUCCCCGAAAGGGGUGCUAAUACCGGAUAAUGUCUUCGGACCAAAGAUUUAUCGCCUUUGGAUGGGCCCGCGUUGGAUUAGCUAGUUGGUAGGGUAAAAGCCUACCAAGGCGACGAUCCAUAGCUGGUCUGAGAGGAUGAUCAGCCACACUGGGACUGAGACACGGCCCAGACUCCGACGGGAGGCAGCAGUGGGGAAUAGUGGACAAUGGGCGAAAGCCUGAUCCAGCAAUGCCGGGUGAGUGAUGAAGGCCUUAGGGUUGUAAAGCUCUUUUACCCGGGAUGAUAAGGACAGUACCGGGAGAAUAAGCUCCGGCUAACUCCGU
rnacentral:rRNA from 1 species